AAUCCACGGUGGGGGCAUUGCAUGGUAUACCCUUUAAAUCUUUUCCAAGACUCAAGAAAUGAUUCAUGGUUCUUCUGUAUGAAACUUGAGAUUUCAUUUCUCAACCU
rfam:Eutrema salsugineum unplaced genomic scaffold scaffold_8, whole genome shotgun sequence.